CAUGCUGUGUGUGGGUACCCUACUGCAGGCAGUGGCAAUCAUGUAUGAUUAAAAAUGAUUGGUACGUCUGCGGGUAGAGCUACUGCAUGACACAUG
rnacentral:miRNA from 10 species